rnacentral:rRNA from 1 species
CACGUAGGGCGCAAGCGUUGUCCGGAAUUAUUGGGCGUAAAGAGCUCGUAGGCGGUUUGUCGCGUCUGCUGUGAAAACCUAAGGCUCAACCUUGGGCUUGCAGUGGGUACGGGCAGACUAGAGUGCGGUAGGGGUGACUGGAAUUCCUGGUGUAGCGGUGAAAUGCGCAGAUAUCAGGAGGAACACCGAUGGCGAAGGCAGGUCUCUGGGCCACUACUGACGCUGAGAAGCGAAAGCAUGGGGAGCGAACAGG